ACGCUCUUGUGAAGAUACCUGAGGAAUCUUCUCUGGUUUUGUUAGCAAACGUGUUUGUUUGGAAGUCUGCUUUCAAGGGAAAUAGUCUGCAUUGGGAACUUUUGUAUCAGUUCUUUGCUUUGAAAGAGCAAAGUGAGGAGUGACUACAAAUGGCUGAAUUACACAAGAAUUUAUAUCCAGACAUCGGUGUCCUAUGUCAGACUGAAAGUUUGUCCAUCUGGUUUAAAGUUUUACAUAGUUUUCUCUUGCUACUGUGUCUGAGCGUUCAUGCCUGUGGUUCCUACAGUAAUAUUCAUGUUCUGCAGUAUCUUUAUUACUGUGUCACUGGGAGGCGAUAAAUAUAAAUAUAAACAUAGCCUUGUGUGGAGUCACUCUUCAGAGCAGG